rnacentral:rRNA from 1 species
GUGGGGAAUAUUGGACAAUGGGCGAAAGCCUGAUCCAGCCAUGCCGCGUGUGUGAAGAAGGUCUUCGGAUUGUAAAGCACUUUAAGUUGGGAGGAAGGGCAGUAAGUUAAUACCUUGCUGUUUUGACGUUACCGACAGAAUAAGCACCGGCUAACUUCGUGCCAGCAGCCGCGGUAAUACGAAGGGUGCAAGCGUUAAUCGGAAUUACUGGGCGUACAGCGCGCGUAGGUGGUUCAGUAAGUUGGAAGUGAAAUCCCCGGGCUCAACCUGGGAACUGCUUUCAAAACUGCUGAGCUAGAGUACGGUAGAGGGUAGUGGAAUUUCCUGUGUAGCGGUGAAAUGCGUAGAUAUAGGAAGGAACACCAGUGGCGAAGGCGACUACCUGGACUGAUACUGACACUGAGGUGCGAAAGCGUGGGGAGCAAACAGGAUUAGAUACCCUUGUAGUCC